UUAUUUGAGGAUUCGAUCCUGGUCCAGGAUGAACGCUGGCGGCGUGGAUAAGGCAUGCAAGUCAAGCGGGAUGUAACAAUUUGUUAUGUUCAGCGGCAGACGGGUUAGUAACACGUAGAUACCUGCCCUAAAGACAGGGAUACCUCAGCGAAAGCUGAGCUAAUACCUGAUGGUCUCGCAAGAGUAAAGACGCAAGUCACUUUAGGAUGGGUCUGCGGCCUAUCAGCUAGUUGGUGAGGUAAUGGCUCACCAAGGCUAUGACGGGUAGGGGAAGUGAGAGCUUGAUCCCCAACAAUGGGACUGCGACAUGGCCCAUACUCCUACGGGAGGCAGCAGUCGAGAAUAUUGGACAAUGGGGGAAACCCUGAUCCAGCGACGCCGCGUGCAGGAAGAAGGUCUUAGGAUUGUAAACUGCUUUUGUGGAGGAACAACCUUCGGGUGAGUGUACUCCGCGAAUAAGGGGGUGCAAAUUCUGUGCCAGCAGCCGCGGUAAUACAGAACCCCCAAGCGUUAUCCGGAUUUAUUGGGCGUAAAGUGUCCGUAGCCGGUCUGGAAAGUCUUAGGUUAAAUACCAAGAGCUCAACUUUUGGGAUGCCUGGGAAACUUCCAGACUCGAGGG
rnacentral:rRNA from 1 species